UUCCACAAACUCCGGGACAAGCUUCAGGUGGGCGUGGUGGAACUUUUCCUUAAAGGCGAGACCCCUCUCACCAACGUGCUUUGGCAUAGCUGGUCCCAGCAAAGAGGCCUCAUUGCUGUGGGUGAUAAGGAAACUUCAAAAGCAAUCAUCCAACUGAUUGCCCAGAUGAGUAUCAAACAACACAAAUUUCGUGCCUGGAAACGGGGCGAAUUUGGAGAGGGUAGGCUUGUGACAGUGUUCUUUGCUGGCAAUAGCUUGCAAUUGUGGGGUGGAGACAAGCUUUUGAAGCUUCUUAAAUCUCAAAGCAAACUACUCGGCAAUCACGUUGGAGUCAAAACCACCGACACAGAUAAAGGGCCAAAAAUGAUCUUCUUUGCAGACCCCGUCUUAUGGAAAGAUCUCAAAGGCAGAGCGACAUCGCUGGCUCAACACAAAGUCGUCCUAGGGUUAGGACUCGCCCAGUACGUGUUCCACCUGAGCCGGAAAUCGAAUGUGAACGCUCCUCGGGAGGACACUCCUUGCUUGAGAAGGGGAGGAGACGAAACCCGUGACAGGGAAAGCAUCUGGAGGCGACGACCGAUGUGAGGAGGUCACCGCAAGAAAGGCCCCUGUUCUGGCGGUAGAGGUGGCAGACGAGACGGAAGCGGACCACGCUGCUUUCGAAAAAGUGGACAGACUGUUUUCCCAAAAACUAUUUUAUCCCGCUCAACUAUAAGUGGAGGCACCAAUUCAACGUCUACAUUGGUAAAAUCAGUCGACAUCUCAACUACUGGGAUCCUUCCCUGCCAAGACCAAGUCCAAACAUUGUCUAGCCUUUUUGCUGACUUUUCCAAAGCCUCCAUCAUGACGGCAGAGGAACUAUCAAUGAGAAGCAAAAUCAAGAGACCAAGAAAAAGAAGGAGAAAAACUAAAAGGCUAUGCAAUCUUGUCCUGCGAUACAGGACAACGAAGCAGAAUAGGAAUGAACUACUUCACAUCAAACUAAACAUACAAAUUUAAGAUGAAGAAAGUAAACAAGAAAUAAGGGACAGAGAAAAGCAAGGAAUCAAGAACAUAUGUAAGCUAGGAAAA